ACUUCCUUGUAACUGGGAUGCAACUGAUUGUAGUGUAUCAGAAAGCAUUGAAAGCAAAGCACAGCUGCUCUCAAGACAACUCUUUCCAAGGUUACGUGAAACCACAGUUGAUUUUAUUUAUUUUUCAGAUCAGACUCUCCAAAUGCAGAGAUGACACCUCACAUUUCUGGAAGUUGAAGGAUCAUCUCUGCAUGCUUAAAAGGCCCUAUCUUAUUGCCUAUCCCAGGCUGGUAAAACAGCAAGCACAUGUUAGUGACAUCUAUCUGUGGGAGGACAGGUGGAGCAAAAUGGGAAGUGUCUGCUUGUUCUUGUACAAUGAUUUGUUUCAGUUGCCAAGCUCUGUUAAAUAAACUGCCAGCAUAGCAAUCAGGAA